CCUACGGGCGGCAGCAGUGAGGAAUAUUGGUCAAUGGGCGGGAGCCUGAACCAGCCAAGCCGCGUGAGGGAAGAAGGUACAGCGUAUCGUAAACCUCUUUUGUCAGGGAACAAAGGCGGGGACUAGUCCCCGUAUGAGGGUACCUGAAGAAAAAGCAUCGGCUAACUCCGUGCCAGCAGCCGCGGUAAUACGGAGGAUGCGAGCGUUAUCCGGAUUUAUUGGGUUUAAAGGGUGCGCAGGCGGCCUGUUAAGUUAGCGGUAAAAACCCGGGGCUCAACCCCGGCGGGCCGUUGAAACUGGCGGGCUGGAGUUGGAGAGAGGGACGCGGAAUGCGCGGUGUAGCGGUGAAAUGCUUAGAGAUGGCGCAGAACCCCGAUUGCGAAGGCAGCGUACCGGCUCCACACUGACGCUGAGGCACGAAAGCGUGGGUAUCGAACAGGAUUAGAUACCCCUGUAGUC
rnacentral:rRNA from 1 species